GCGGAUGUGGCGUAAUCAGUAAACGCGCCGGCCCCAGAUGCCGGCGGGCGCAAGCCCGUGCGAGUGCAAGUCCCGCCAUCCGCACCA
rnacentral:tRNA from 1 species